rnacentral:rRNA from 1 species
UACGUAGGGUGCGAGCGUUGUCCGGAAUUAUUGGGCGUAAAGAGCUCGUAGGCGGUGUGUCGCGUCGGCCGUGAAAACCUGCAGCUUAACCGUGGGCGUGCGGUCGAUACGGGCAUCACUGGAGUUCGGCAGGGGAGACUGGAAUUCCUGGUGUAGCGGUGAAAUGCGCAGAUAUCAGGAGGAACACCGGUGGCGAAGGCGGGUCUCUGGGCCGAUACUGACGCUGAGGAGCGAAAGCGUGGGGAGCGAACAGG